rnacentral:rRNA from 1 species
UGCAGUCGAGCGUGAAGCCCCUUCGGGGGUGAGUAGAGCGGCGGACGGGUGAGUAACACGUGGUCAAGCUACCCCCGAGACCGGGAUAACCAGAGGAAACCGAAGCUAAUACCGGAUAAGACCACAUUAUCUGCGGAUAAAGGGGUAAAAGUUUUUCGCCUUUUGAUGGGUCCAUGCUCCAUUAGCUUGUUGGUAGGGUAAUAGCCUACCAAGGCAACGAUGGUUAGCUGAUCUGAGAGGAUGAUCAGCCACACUGGAACUGAAAUACGGUCCAGACUCCUACGGGAGGCAGCAGUGGGGAAUAUUGCGCAAUGGGGGAAACCCUGACGCAGCAACGCCGUGUGAGUGACGAAGGCUUUCGGGUCGUAAAACUCUGUCGAAAGGGACGAAACUACCAAGAGCUAAUAUCUCUUGGUAUUGACGGUACCUUUAGAGGAAGCACCGGCUAACUCCGUGCCAGCAGCCGCGGUAAUACGGAGGGUGCAAGCGUUGUUCGGAAUUACUGGGCGUAAAGCGCGCGUAGGUGGUUCUUUAUGUCGGGUGUGAAAGCCCUGGGCCUAACCCAGGAAGUGCGCUCGAAACUGAAGAACUUGAGUACGAGAGGGUGGUAGAAUUUCUUGUGUAGCAGUGAAAUGCGUAGAUAUGAGAAGGAAUACCAGUGGCGAAGGCGGCCACCUGGAUCGAUACUGACGCUGAGGUGCGAAAGCGUGGGGAGCAAACGGGAUUAGAUACCCCGGUAGUCCGCGCCGUAAACGAUGUCUAUUAGCCGUUGGGAGACUUGAUCUCUUAGUGGCGCAGCUAACGCGAUAAAUAGACCGCCUGGGGAGUACGGUCGC